rnacentral:tRNA from 1 species
GGGGGUACAGCUCAGUGGUGGAGCGCCUGCUUAGCAUGCACGAGGUCCUGAGUUCCAUCCCCAGUCCCUCCA